UAGCUACAGGCUUAACACAUGCAAGUUGAGGGGAAACGACAUCGAAAGCUUGCUUUUGAUGGGCGUCGACCGGCGCACGGGUGAGUAACGCGUAUCCAACCUGCCCACCACUUGGGGAUAACCUUGCGAAAGUAAGACUAAUACCCAAUGACGUCUCUAGAAGACAUCUGAAAGAGAUUAAAGAUUUAUCGGUGAUGGAUGGGGAUGCGUCUGAUUAGCUUGUUGGCGGGGUAACGGCCCACCAAGGCGACGAUCAGUAGGGGUUCUGAGAGGAAGGUCCCCCACAUUGGAACUGAGACACGGUCCAAACUCCUACGGGAGGCAGCAGUGAGGAAUAUUGGUCAAUGGACGAGAGUCUGAACCAGCCAAGUAGCGUGCAGGAUGACGGCCCUAUGGGUUGUAAACUGCUUUUAUAAGGGAAUAAAGUGAGUCUCGUGAGACUUUUUGCAUGUACCUUAUGAAUAAGGACCGGCUAAUUCCGUGCCAGCAGCCGCGGUAAUACGGAAGGUCCGGGCGCUAUCCGGAUUUAUUGGGUUUAAAGGGAGCGUAGGCCGGAGAUUAAGCGUGUUGUGAAAUGUAGACGCUCAACGUCUGCACUGCAGCGCGAACUGGUUUCCUUGAGUACGCACAGAGUGGGCGGAAUUCGUGGUGUAGCGGUGAAAUGCUUAGAUAUCACGAAGAACUCCGAUUGCGAAGGCAGCUCACUGGAGCGCAACUGACGCUGAAGCUCGAAAGUGCGGGUAUCGAACAGGAUUAGAUACCCUGGUAGUCCGCACGGUAAACGAUGGAUGCCCGCUGUUGGUCUGAAUAGGUCAGCGGCCAAGCGAAAGCAUUAAGCAUCCCACCUGGGGAGUACACCGGCAACGGUGAAACUCAAAGGAAUUGACGGGGGCCCGCACAAGCGGAGGGACAUGUGGUUUAAUUCGAUGAUACGCGAGGAACCUUACCCGGGCUUGAAUUGCAGAGGAAGGAUUUGGAGACAAUGACGCCCUUCAGGGCCUCUGUGAAGGUGCUGCAUGGUUGUCGUCAGCUCGUGCCGUGAGGUGUCGGCUUAAGUGCCAUAACGAGCGCAACCCCUCUCCUUAGUUGCCAUCAGGUCAAGCUGGGCACUCUGGGGACACUGCCACCGUAAGGUGUGAGGA
rnacentral:rRNA from 1 species